GACGAACGCUGGCGGCGUGCUUAACACAUGCAAGUCGAACGGAAAGGCCCUGCUUUUGUGGGGUGCUCGAGUGGCGAACGGGUGAGUAACACGUGAGUAACCUGCCCUUGACUUUGGGAUAACUUCAGGAAACUGGGGCUAAUACCGGAUAGGAGCUCCUGCUGCAUGGUGGGGGUUGGAAAGUUUCGGCGGUUGGGGAUGGACUCGCGGCUUAUCAGCUUGUUGGUGGGGUAGUGGCUUACCAAGGCUUUGACGGGUAGCCGGCCUGAGAGGGUGACCGGCGACAGUGGGACUGAGGGAAGGCGGAGGGGCAGACGGGGGGCAGCAGGGGGGGAGGUGGCGGAAGGGGCGGGAGUCUGAUGCAGCUACGCCGCGUGCGGGAUGACGGGCUUCGGGUUGGAAACAGGUUUCGCCUGUGACGAAGCGGGAGGGAGGGUAAUGGGUAAAGAAGCAAGGGCUAACUACGUG
rnacentral:rRNA from 1 species